rnacentral:lncRNA from 10 species
UCCUCCAGGUUAGAGUGGGAGCUGUUUCACCUGAUUACUAGGUGAGUCAGGGUCUGGGGAUUGACUUGGCUAUGCUAAGAUACCACCUGGAGGAGGCGGAGGGGGACCCUGAUGUAGCAGUUACUGGCCCUAGGUAUUGCCAUAUAAAGUCGCUCACCUCAUGACCUGGAUCAAAAGUCUCCUCUUUCAGGAAGACCUCCCCACUCUCAUCUCUUUUCCUCUGACUUUCUUGGAGCUACAAGAUUGAUUUAUUCCUGGGUCACAGCUCUCUCCUCCUAGCUAGAUGCCGCCAAUGGCCCCAGCUUCCAUUCUCCCUUUUUGGCAACCCUCUCAAGGGAUUCUGUGUAUAGUAUACUGGUUAAAAGAGCUGCCCUGGAGUCAGACUGUUUAGGU